CCUACGGGAGGCAGCAGUAGGGAAUCUUUCACAAUGGGCGAAAGCCUGAUGGAGCAACGCCGCGUGCAGGAUGAAGGCCUUCGGGUUGUAAACUGCUUUUAUAAGCGAGAAAUAUGAUGGUAACUUAUGAAUAAGGAUCGGCUAACUACGUGCCAGCAGCCGCGGUCAUACGUAGGAUCCGAGCAUUAUCCGGAGUGACUGGGUGUAAAGAGUUGCGUAGGUGGCAUAAUAAGUAGCUAGUGAAAUCUGGUGGCUCAACCAUUCAGACUAUUAGCUAAACUGUUAAGCUCGAGACCGUUAGGGGUAACUGGAAUUUCUAGUGUAGGAGUGAAAUCCGUAGAUAUUAGGAGGAACACCAGUGGCGAAGGCGUCUUACUGGACCGAAACUGACGUUGAGGCUCGAAAGCGUGGGGAGCAAACAGGAUUAGAUACCCGGUAGUC
rnacentral:rRNA from 1 species